rnacentral:rRNA from 1 species
CCUACUACGGCGAGUGAGCGGCACAGCUCAAUUUGAAUCUGGCUUCGGCCCGAGUUGUAAUUUGCAGAGGAAGUUUCUGGCCAGGUGCCUUCUGAGUCCACUGGAACGUGGCGCCACAGAGGGUGAGAGCCCCGUAUCGUCGGAUACCGCGCCUGUGUGAAACUCCUUCGACGAGUCGAGUAGUUUGGGAAUGCUGCUCUAAAUGGGAGGUAAAUUCCUUCUAAAGCUAAAUAUUGGCCCGAAACCGAUAGCGUACAAGUAGAGUGAUCGAAAGAUGAAAAGCACUUUGAAAAGAGAGUCAAACAGCACGUGAAAUUGUUGAAAGGGAAGGAUUUGUGACCAGACUUGU